rnacentral:rRNA from 1 species
GACGAACGCUGGCGGCGUGCUUAACACAUGCAAGUCGAACGGAAAGGCCCUGCUUUUGUGGGGUGCUCGAGUGGCGAACGGGUGAGUAACACGUGAGUAACCUGCCCUUGACUUUGGGAUAACUUCAGGAAACUGGGGCUAAUACCGGAUAGGAGCUCCUGCUGCAUGGUGGGGGUUGGAAAGCUUCGGCGGUUGGGGAUGGACUGGCGGCUUAUCAGCUUGUUGGUGGGGUAGUGGCUUACCAAGGCUUUGACGGGUAGCCGGCCUGAGAGGGUGACCAGCCACAUGGGGACUGAGAUACGGCGCAGACGCCUACGGGAGGCAGCAGUGGGGAAUAUUGCACAAUGGGCGGAAGCCUGAUGCAGCAACGCCGCGUGCGGGAUGACGGCCUUCGGGUUGUAAACCGCUUUAGCCCGUGACGAAGCGGUAGUGACGGUAAUGGGUAAAGAAGCACCGGCUAACUACGUG